rnacentral:tRNA from 1 species
GCCGGUGUGGCUUAGCUUGGUUAUAGCGCCAGACUCAUAAUCUGGAGGUCGAGGGCUCAAACCCCUCCACCGGCA